rnacentral:rRNA from 1 species
UUGACCCUGGCCAGGAUGACGCUGGCGGUCUGCUUACACAUGCAAGUCGAACGCAACCUUCGGGUUGAGUGGCGGACGGGUGAGUAACGCGUGAGAAUCUGCCUUGGGGUCGGGGACAACCACUGGAAACGGUGGCUAAUACCGGAUAAGCCUUUGGGUAAAAAAUUUAUUGCCCCAAGAGGAGCUCGCGUCUGAUUAGCUAGUUGGUGAGGUAAAAGCUCACCAAGGCAGCGAUCAGUAGCUGGUCUGAGAGGACGAUCAGCCACACUGGGACUGAGACACGGCCCAGACUCCUACGGGAGGCAGCAGUGGGGAAUUUUCCGCAAUGGGCGAAAGCCUGACGGAGCAAGACCGCGUGAGGGAGGAAGGCUCUUGGGUUGUAAACCUCUUUUCUCAGGGAAGAAGCUCUGACGGUACCUGAGGAAUCAGCCUCGGCUAACUCCGUGCCAGCAGCCGCGGUAAUACGGAGGAGGCAAGCGUUAUCCGGAAUUAUUGGGCGUAAAGCGUCCGCAGGUGGCGAUUCAAGUCUGCUGUCAAAGCACGGGGCUUAACUCCGUUAAGGCAGUGGAAACUGAAUAGCUAGAGUGCCGUAGGGGUAGAGGGAAUUCCCGGUGUAGCGGUGAAAUGCGUAGAGAUCGGGAAGAACAUCGGUGGCGAAAGCGCUCUACUGGACGGCAACUGACACUCAGGGACGAAAGCUAGGGGAGCGAAUGGGAUUAGAUACCCCAGUAGUCCUAGCUGUAAACGAUGGAUACUAGGUGUAGCUUGUAUCGACCCGAGCUGUGCCGAAGCUAACGCGUUAAGUAUCCCGCCUGGGGAGUACGCACGCAAGUGUGAAACUCAAACGAAUUGACGGGGGCCCGCACAAGCGGUGGAGUAUGUGGUUUAAUUCGAUGCAACGCGAAGAACCUUACCAGGCCUUGACAUGUCCGG